UCCUGGUAUGUGAUACUUCAACAUCUCUAUUAUUUGCUUGUCGGGCAAACGCUGAGUGAACUAUCAGUACGAUAAGGCACUCACAAAUGCAAUUUCUUCAGUAUAAGAGAGAUGGAAUUGGCCGAUUCUAACAGCUCUUUCACAACAGCGUCAGGGUGCAGUUUGAUUGCAGAUAUCUAAAGCAGGUUCAGAAACUUGCCAUCUGAUGUAUCAUAGCCCCAAACUGGCUGAGCAGGAAAUUCAGUUCUUGCAAGAAUGUGCCCGCCGCGGAAACUUGCCCCUGCGCGCGUUUGCGGACGCGAUGACAGAAGAGAUGCACUAGCAGACCGUGGAACCGGCAGAAUUCCUUAACCAAUUUGAUAAAUAAUGUUGUUUUCAUUAGCUGAAUACAUUUGCAUUGCGUUCCUUGUAAUUUUGCGUUUUUUAAUAAUUUUCCUGCACAGAUAACUAACGCUUUAAAGGCUUAGCUUAUUAACCGAUUAAUUGUGAAUAAAUUUUACCCUUCUCGUUGAUACAGAUCCGUUUAAUUAUUUAAAAACAAUAUAAGCAUCCAGGGGCAGUAGUUAUAGCGUUAGGGGUAGUAGAUAUAAGGACAGGGGCGAGGGGUGGGGAACCAGAAGUUAGGAAUGUAGGGAUAACGGGCAACGGAAGUGGUGACGGAUAUGGGAGCGACGGGGACGCGCGCGGGGGCGAUGUUGGAUGCUGGGGUAAAGCGCUGGGUUGGCGCCGGUGCGCAGAGUUGUGGUGCUCAUGGGUGGCGGCGGACGCGUGGCGGAGCGCUGGGAUGAUGGCGUGCAGGAUUUACAGCCAACGCAACGGCAGUUUGAGAGACGGAUAACGGUGGCCGUGGUGGCCAUCUGGGCAAAUGCUGGACUGCGGGAGCUGUGGGACCUUCCAGGCUGAGGAGACGUUAUUAAGCACGUAGCUCGGUUCCCUAUUUUCUGCAUUUUCCGAGAAUUUAAAAUUAUGGAACGUACUGGAUGUCCCUGUGGCUGUGAUCAUAACUCUAUCCCUGCGGAAUGUUGAGCGGAUCCGUAUUUCACUCAUCACUAACGGCUUCAAGGGGCAUGCCUGUCUACCGUAAUUCCGUUUCUCGGUUUCCCCCGGAUUGCUCCCUGCUUAGACGCUGCUGGAAGACGACAACAACGGAGAUAUAACCCAUGCCUGCAUGGAUAUGGCCACCUGUUGUCUUUGUAAUAAUCAUGACUCCAAUUGCGUUAGGGUGCGCCUGCUAUGCAUUGCAAAAUCCCGGAGAGCCGGUAACCAGAAGUUUAAAGACAUAUGGGACCUUUGGGCCGUAAUAAACGUCAGUGAUUCCACUCAUAAUUCUACACUGUAUCGGAAUUUUGGACUGUGUUUUAGCGUUGAAAUGCAAAGUAACGGGGAAACACGUUGUCUGUGACGUUAAACGUUAAGCAUUCGGCCGGCUUUAAAGCUGUUCACUUUGUGCUGUAAUGUUUCUUAGUGCAGUGCUUAAAACUCCGGAGGAAAGCCA